UAAUCGCGGAUCAGCAUGCCGCGGUGAAUACGUUCCCGGGCCUUGUACACACCGCCCGUCACACCAUGGGAGCCGGUAAUACCCGAAGUCAGUAGUCCAACCUCGUGAGGACGCUGCCGAAGGUAGGAUUGGCGACUGGGGUGAAGUCGUAACAAGGUAGC
rnacentral:rRNA from 1 species